rnacentral:rRNA from 1 species
CUCGGUGGUGAUAGCAACGGAGAUACACCCGUUCCCAUUCCGAACACGGAAGUUAAGCCCGUUUGCGCCGAUGGUACUUGGGGGGAGACCCCCUGGGAGAGUAGGUCACCGCCGGUU